GAUGAACGCUGGCGGCGUGCCUAAUACAUGCAAGUCGAGCGAACAGACGAGGAGCUUGCUCCUUCGACGUUAGCGGCGGACGGGUGAGUAACACGUAGGUAACCUACCUAUAAGACUGGGAUAACUUCGGGAAACCGGAGCUAAUACCGGAUAAUAUUUCGAACCGCAUGGUUCGUUAGUGAAAGAUGGCUUUGCUAUCACUUAUAGAUGGACCUGCGCCGUAUUAGCUAGUUGGUAAGGUAACGGCUUACCAAGGCAACGAUACGUAGCCGACCUGAGAGGGUGAUCGGCCACACUGGAACUGAGACACGGUCCAGACUCCUACGGGAGGCAGCAGUAGGGAAUCUUCCGCAAUGGGCGAAAGCCUGACGGAGCAACGCCGCGUGAGUGAUGAAGGUCUUCGGAUCGUAAAACUCUGUUAUUAGGGAAGAACAAACGUGUAAGUAACUGUGCACGUCUUGACGGUACCUAAUCAGAAAGCCACGGCUAACUACGUG
rnacentral:rRNA from 1 species